rnacentral:rRNA from 1 species
GACGAACGCUGGCGGCGUGCUUAACACAUGCAAGUCGAACGAUGAACCCGGAGCUUGCUCCGGCGGAUUAGUGGCGAACGGGUGAGUAACACGUGAGUAACCUGGCGUUUACUCUUGGAUAACUGCUAGACAUGGUAGCUAAUACCGGAUACGACCCUCGGUGGCAUCACCAGGGGGUGGAAAGAAUUUCGGUCAAGGAUGGACUAGCGGCCGAUCAGCUAGUUGGUGAGGUAACGGCGAAGAAAGGCGACGACGGGUAGCCGGACUGAGAGGGUGACCGGACGCACAGGGACGGAGACACGGCCCAGACUCCUACGGGAGGCAGCAGUGGGGAAUAUUGCACAAUGGGCGCAAGCCUGAUGCAGCAGCGCCGCGUGAGGGAUGACGGCCUUCGGGUUGUAAACCUCUUUUAGUAGGGAAGAAGCGAAAGUGACGGUACCUGCAGAAAAAGCACCGGCUAACUACGUGCCAGCCGCCGCGGUAA